rnacentral:tRNA from 1 species
AAAAUCCGUCGACUUUAGAAAUCGUGAGGGUUCAAGUCCCUCUAUCCCCCCAAAAAGACCGAUUUGACUUCCUAACUAUUUCUCCUACCCUCUCUUUUUUUUUAGUGGUUCAAAAUCCGUUCUCUUUCUCAUUCAUUCUACCUUUUUACAAACGUAUCAGAGCAGAAUUUUUUUCUUUUAUCACAAUCACAAGUGGUGUGGUAUAUAUGAUAUACGUUCAAAUGAACAUCUUUGAACAAAGAAUCCCGAUUCACAAUUCAUAUCAUUGCUCAUACUGAAACUUAUAAAUUAUUUUAUUGAAGAAAUCAAAUUCCCCGCUCAAGACUUUUAAUACUUUUUUAUCUUUUUUAAUUGACAUAGACCCCAGUCAUCUAGUAAAAUGAGGGUGAUGCGCCGGUAAUGGUCGGGAUAGCUCAGCUGGUA